CCUGCAUAUCGGAGGUCCAAAGGGU
rnacentral:snRNA from 1 species